rnacentral:rRNA from 1 species
AAUAGAUACCCGGGUAGUCCACGCUGUAAACGAUGAGGACUAGAUGUUGGGUAGGGAACCUAUCGGUAUCGAAGCAAACGCGAUAAGUCUUCCGCCUGGGAAGUACGGCCGCAAGGUUGAAACUCAAAUGAAUUGACGGGGGCCCGGCACAAGCGGUGGAGCAUGUGGUUUAAUUCGAUGCAACGCGAAGAACCUUACCUACCCUUGACAUCCUAGGAACCCUGCAGAGACGUAGGGGUGCCGAAAGGAACCUAGAGACAGGUGCUGCAUGGCUGUCGUCAGCUCGUGUUGUGAGAUGUUGGGUUAAGUCCCGUAACGAGCGCAACCCUUGCCCUUAGUUGCCAGCAUUAAGUUGGGGACUCUAAGGGGACUGCCGGUGAUGAACCGGAGGAAGGCGGGGACGACGUCAAGUCAUCAUGGCCUUUAUGGGUAGGGCUACACACGUGCUACAAUGGGGCGUACAGAGGGUAGCCAACCCGGCGAGGGGGAGCCAAUCUCAGAAAGCGUCUCGUAGUCCGGAUUGGAGUCUGCAACUCGACUCCAUGAAGUUGG